GUUGAGUUAGUUUAUUAAAAACACCAGUUUGUGGUCCUGGAAAUAAGAUUUCUACCCCAUCUUACUCAACC
rnacentral:tRNA from 1 species